CUUACAUCUCUUCGGAGCAUUUUACGAGGUGCUGCAUGGUUGUCGUCAGCUCGUGCCGUGAGGUGUCGGGUUAAGUCCCAUAACGAGCGCAACCCCUACCUUAGUUGCCAUCAGGUUAAGCUGGGGACUCUAAAGGAACUGCCUACGCAAGUAGUGAGGAAGCGGGGAGUGACGUCAAAUCAGCACGGCCCUUACGUCCAGGGCUACACACGUGCUACAAUGGCCGAUACAGAGGGCAGCUACCUGGUGACAGGAUGCAAAUACUCCAAAGUCGGUCUCAGUUCGGAUCGGAGUCUGCAACCCGACUCCGUGAAGUUGGAUUCGCUAGUAAUCGCGCAUCAGCCAUGGCGCGGUGAAUACGUUCCCGGGCCUU
rnacentral:rRNA from 1 species